GAAAUAGAUCCUGAAACCGCAUGCAUACAAAAAGUCGGAGCCUGGAAACGGGUGACGGCGUACCUUUUGUAUAAUGGGUCAGCGACUUACAUUCAGUGGCAAGGUUAACCGAAUAGGGUAGCCGAAGAGAAAUCGAGUCCGAAUAGGGCGUCUAGUCGCUGGGUGUAGACCCGAAACCAAGUGAUCUAUCCAUGGCCAGGAUGAAGGUGCGGUAACACGCACUGGAGGUCCGAACCGACUAAUGUUGCAAAAUUAGCGGAUGAGCUGUGGAUAGGGGUGAAAGGCUAAACAAACUUGGAAAUAGCUGGUUCUCUCCGAAAACUAUUUUAGGUAGUGCCUCAAGUAUUACCAUCGGGGGUAGAGCACUGUUAUGGCUAGGGGGUCAUGGCGACUUACCAAAACCAUUGCAAAACUCCGAAUACCGAUGAGUACAGCUUGGGAGACAGUGCACCGGGUGCUAACGUCCGGACACAAGAGGGAAACAACCCAGACCGCCAGCUAAGGUCCCUAAAAUUGGCUAAGUGGGAAACGAAGUGGGAAGGCUAAAAACGAGU
rnacentral:rRNA from 1 species